rnacentral:lncRNA from 1 species
ACAUGCCCACACCUGUGGCUUCUGAAGCAGAGCACCAGCAGUGACAGUCCCACCAGAACCGCAUGGAAUAGAAAACUGUGCAUUUCCCUAAGGAAAGGGAAUGCCAGAGAAGGGCAGAAGGGAAAUCAGGAAGACAAAACGGUAAAUUACCUACCACAAAUCCAAUUCAUUGGUAUUUUUCCACUUACACUUAACCAAGCAACGAUUUCUCCUGGUCCCAUAAUGGAAAAGAGGGUUUAUCUAGAUUCAUAUAUACAAGACUGAAGAGUGAAGAGAGACCCAGAGAAUGUUCUAAAAUCUGCCAGUUAGCAUAAUCACACAGAGAAAUCUCUGCUUCCAGAGGAGGAGCCAAGUUCAAGUCAGAGUGUCUUCAUGUUGGAGUGGACCUUUCCUCUAUCUGUCAACAGAAUGGAUAAAUUGUGGAAGAGUAAUAUCAGAAUACUACACAUCAGUAAAAAACAACAAACUUCUGCUACAAACAAUCAACAUCGAUGAAUCUUUCAGGCAAAAGGUUAUAGAAACAGAUGAUCAGUGGCCCACGGAUUCCAGGUGAGGAUCUGGGACCCAGACAUCCAGAUAUUGAAAACACAGGGAUGGAGUCUGUAUGGAAAAAAUUAAAAUAUAGCAAAAUGUGAAAUACGGAAGAGAAAUCUUUCAAUUUCCCAAUGGAAGUGAGAAAAGAGCAAAGAAAAGUAUUGGUCUUCCAAAACAAAUAGAGGACGGAGCUGCUGCUGUUGCAUGGUGUCUAGAAACUCAGACAACUUCAUCAUUCCAUAUUUGCAUCCAAGAGAGAGAAAGAAAAACUACAAUCAUUUUCCAUUUACCCAUCAACCCAUCAACCUCCAAAUAAAGGCUAUUAAAAAACAAUCAAAGUGUGAAGAGGGCAGAAAAUGUGAUGAAGAGAUUCUUUGGAGAAAGUAGCUGCCACUGUUACCUUGGGAUCUGCCUAUAGUCCUCACAGAGCUUGCCCUUGCAGGAUAGAACAUAGGAGUCUGGGAGUCUGCAAGAAGAGACAGGGUCUCACUAUGUUGCCCCAGUUGGCCUUGAACUGCUGGACUCAAGGGAUCCUCCUGCCUCAGCAUCCUGAGUAGCUGGGUCUACAGGCAUGAACCACCAGGCCCAGAACCCUGUCUUUUGAAAGCCAUAUGCGAUCUGUCUGCCCUGAAGUGACUACUUCAUCUCCAACCAGCCCUUGGCUGGCAAAGUCAGGAAGACUCCAGUCUUUCCUGAAGACCAGGGGAGAGUUUAUAACUCUAGCAUCAAAGUCAGCAGCUGUUCAUCUAGAAGACAACUUCCCAAAAGUCAAUGUCUUUGCCUGAAGCUUUUCUUCCCAGAUCUCCUAUGGUGAAACAACCAAAGGGAAGAAGAAUGUGGGCAGCCCUCAGUAAGACAGGAGAUGAGCAUCAACAUUGACCCAUUCUUUCUUCCAGUCCUCGAUGCUUACCUUGUACAUUCUUCUUUGUCUUCCGACUCAGUGCCUUUAGGGUAUGGACGUUGCCUGGUCCCACACAAGCCAAGCAUCAAAUGGAUGGCUCAACAAGGAGGCCAAGACCAGCUAAUGUUUAGUGAGCACCCAAAGGGGCCACACUGGAGAGAACAGCACAGCUCCGUCUGAGAAACAGCUGUUCCUUCCUGCCUGAGAGGCAGAGUGAUAGAAGAUAUCACAGAAUGUUGCUGCUUUGUCUUCCACCCUGAACCCUCCACGACCUCCCUGUAGCUUCCUGAUUUUAAGUAGACAUCAAAUGAUUCUUAAUCCUUUCUGGGUCUUGGAACGAUUUGAAAAUUGUCAACAGUACUGGGAUUCCCAGAAUAAUGCACAUAUGUACAUACUCAGAUAUUCCCCAAGCCCUGGAUAUAAUUUUAAGGGAGUUCACAGACCACACUCCCCCACCCAUCUGUGGACCCAGAUUCUGUGGGUUCGAGAUUCAGAAGCCCUGUUUCUAGGCAGGCCCUCUGUUGCUAACGCCCCUCGAGAACAUCACCCUAGAUGAUUAUCCCUUCUUCCUCCACUCCUUCCCACCUUCUCCAACUGCUGGGUUUCAGCACAAAGAUUGCUUGCCAGUUAAACUGGCACCAUGGACCGCACAGUAGUUGUUUCUUGGGUCUAGAGGAAACAGCCAGAUUCCUUUAAGUAAAUCAUGUCUUAGUUAUUGAUUGUCUCCACUUGAAGUUUUUGACAAUCUCUGAUUAAAUCAUAAACCACUGCA